UACGUAGGGUGCAAGCGUUAAUCGGAAUUACUGGGCGUAAAGCGUGCGCAGGCGGUUAUAUAAGACAGUUGUGAAAUCCCCGGGCUCAACCUGGGAACUGCAUCUGUGACUGUAUAGCUAGAGUACGGUAGAGGGGGAUGGAAUUCCGCGUGUAGCAGUGAAAUGCGUAGAUAUGCGGAGGAACACCGAUGGCGAAGGCAAUCCCCUGGACCUGUACUGACGCUCAUGCACGAAAGCGUGGGGAGCAAAAGGG
rnacentral:rRNA from 1 species